rnacentral:lncRNA from 10 species
CAUAGCCCCAUUAUAAAUUGAGGAUCAUCCGUAAUGAGUGGAUUUUUAUGGUGAGUUAUUCUUCAAUAAAGCUGUUUUUUAAAAACAGGGAAAAUGAAUGAUGAGGAAAAACUUAUGAGCCAUGAGUGCUGACUAAUGAGUCAGCUCCUGUGAACAGCGUACUGUGAAGCAUUAAGCUAGGUAUGAAUCACAGCAGUGACGAUGAGGAUGCAGGGCGUGGUGUUUACAGAGUGCCUAUUCUGGAAAAGGGAAAGCUAUGAAGACAGAAAAAAGAUCAGUGGUUGCCAGGAUCAAGGGGAGGGCGGGAUGAACAGGCAGAUCACCAAGUAUUUGUGUGGCAGUGAGACUACUCUGCAAGAUGCUACACAUCAUACGUGUGUCCAACUUACCGAUGUCUAACAAGAGUGAACCCCAACAUAAACUCUGAACUCUGGGUGUGAACAGUGUUUCAAUGUAGGGUCACCCGAUUGUAACAGAUGUACCGCUGUCCUGGGGGAUGUCCAGGGACUGUGAGGUCCUCCCCAUGCCGGUGUUCUGGGAUGAUGGCAGGCACUCAGGGGCAGGUGAAUGACACGUCUGAGGAGGCCAGGCCUUGAGCACUGUCUCUCAGCCCCUGGAGAGGUGACCAUGCUUUGGCAGCAAUAGAAUUCAUGUCCACUGAGAGUAGGACCUCAAGUGGUGACCAGAAUGGCCUCCCGGGUGCUUUGGGACUCAGAUCCAGUCCCCUUUGCCAAAUACUUGGCAUACCAAUUAGGACGGUUAUUAUCCAAACAAGUUACACUUAGAAUGACCAUACAACCCAGCAAUUCUUCUCCAGAUAUAUACACGGAAGGAUGGAAAGCAAGAACUCGAACAGAUAUUUGCACACCCAUGUCCAUAGCAGCAUAUUCACUUAAAAGCGGUGAAAAUGGUAAACUUAAUUUUAUAGAUACUUUACCACAAUGUAAGAAAUAAAAAAUAUAAAAAUGAAAACACAUUGCUCACAGCCCCAAGAAUGACUGAGAUGGAUUUUCCACCAGCUCAGCAGGGGAACCUGAGGUCAGGAGUUCAAGACCAGCCUGGCCAACAUAGUGACACCCCGUCUCUACUAAAAUUACAAAAAUUAGCCAGGCGUGUUGGCACGCACCUGUAAUCCCAGCUACUCAGGAGGCUGAGGCACGAGAAUCCCUUGAAUCCAGAAGGCGGAGGUUGCAGUGAACCGAGAUCUCACCACUGUCCUCCAGCCUGGGCGACAGCCAGACUCUGUCUUGGGGGAAGAAAAAAAGCGUGUGGCACGUCCCCCUUCACUCUCUUCCUACUGCCCCAGCCUUGUGGGACGUGCUGGCUCCCCGUUCACCUUCCGCCACAAUUGGAAGUUUCCCGAGCCCUCCCCAGCCAUGCUUGCUGUACGGCCUACAGAACCAUGAGCCAAUUAAACCUCUUUCUUUAUAAAUUACCCAGUCUUGCGUAGU